CCUACGGGAGGCUGCAGUGGGGAAUAUUGGACAAUGGGCGCAAGCCUGAUCCAGCCAUGCCGCGUGAGUGAUGAAGGCCUUAGGGUUGUAAAGCUCUUUUGUCCGGGACGAUAAUGACGGUACCGGAAGAAUAAGCCCCGGCUAACUUCGUGCCAGCAGCCGCGGUAAUACGAAGGGGGCUAGCGUUGCUCGGAAUCACUGGGCGUAAAGGGCGCGUAGGCGGCCGAUUAAGUCGGGGGUGAAAGCCUGUGGCUCAACCACAGAAUUGCCUUCGAUACUGGUUGGCUUGAGACCGGAAGAGGACAGCGGAACUGCGAGUGUAGAGGUGAAAUUCGUAGAUAUUCGCAAGAACACCAGUGGCGAAGGCGGCUGUCUGGUCCGGUUCUGACGCUGAGGCGCGAAAGCGUGGGGAGCAAACAGGAUUAGAUACCCCAGUAGUC
rnacentral:rRNA from 1 species